ensembl:lncRNA
UUCAGUUCGUAAUUUAAAUGUAAAUGGUGUUUUCUUUCAGGUCAGAAACUUGUGCUACAUGGUCACACGCAGAGAGAAGAUCAAACACUCUUUAUGCGACCUGCAGGAGAAGAUCUUUACCUUGCAGAUUCAGCUCUUAGAGAAGAACCUGAUUGGAGACAAAACUCGGAGAGGGGAGACGAUUCAUCGCAAUGGAGUCAGGGAACGAGUGAAAGAAAGGAGGAAGAGUAGUCCAGAAAAGAAAGACAAAUGGAGAUCAGAUGACAACUCUCUAUUCACACAGCUGGGUGAGUGUGCAACUGAAUGAUGUGUUUGCUUUUAUGUACAGAUCUGCUAAAAAAAAAAGACUUUGCUCUCUGAGGGCACGUUGUAGGCCAGAAUAAAAUGUAAAAAUGUUUAAUUUUGAAAAUAGUC